rnacentral:rRNA from 1 species
AGCUCCAAUAGCGUAUAUUAAAGUUGUUGCAGUUAAAAAGCUCGUAGUUGGAUUUCUGAGGGGAGCGACCGGUCGGCGCCCUAGUGGCGUGUGCACUGUUUAGUCUGCUCUCUUCAUCCUGGUCGAGAAGGUCGGUGCGCUUCAUUGCGUGUCGUUCGGAUCGGCCACAUUUACUGUGAAAAAAUUAGAGUGUUUAAAGCAGGCGAUCGCUGUGAAUACAUUAGCAUGGAAUAAUAAGAUAGGACUUUGGUACUAUUUUGUUGGUUUGCGCACCAAGGUAAUGAUUAAUAGGGAUAGUUGGGGGUAUUCAUAUUCAAUUGUCAGAGGUGAAAUUCUUGGAUUUAUGGAAGAUGAACUUAUGCGAAAGCAUUUACCAAGGAUGUUUUCA